rnacentral:piRNA from 1 species
UUCGUUUGUGAAUUUCACACA